GCCGCACACGCGCCGGACCGGGUACCGCUGUGCCCGGCCUGGCCGCGGCCUAGUCCCGGCAGACGGGACUGACGAGGUCACCAAGCCCAGGCCGAGACGGCGCGGGUGUCAGGGACUUGGGAAUCCCCCUCCCCCAGUCCCGAUCCCGCUUUCCUUUGGGGUUUCACCUCAGAGGACCCGACAUCACUCUUGCAGCCGUCUACCUGUCUUCCUGGCUCACUCCCUGCAGGAAUGGUCUGGGGCAACCCCAGCAACACGCCCACCUGUGGCCAGGAUGAAUAGGAAUCCAGUUCAGGCUUGGCUUCCAUGGCAAUCAAGGCCCACCAGGCCCCAGCAACCUUCCCUACCCCCCAUUCCUUUUUGCUGCCCCCCUCCACACCAGGCAUGUUCCCUGCCACACCAUGCUGUUCCCCUCACCUGGGCUGCCCUCCCAACUCCUCUCUGCCUCUGGAGAUGCUCUGCCAUUCAAGACUUGGCUCAGGCUCCAGGUCCUCCCUGGGCCUUCUAGAGCCCCUGGUUCUCACUCCUCUGAACACUUCCAGCCUGGCUAAUAGCCCACUGCAUCCU
rnacentral:antisense_RNA from 1 species